rnacentral:rRNA from 1 species
CUGGCAGUGAUUCACUGUCCGAGUUGUAAAUUGAAGAGAAUGUCAUCCACGCUGGACCACGUCUAAAUUGUAAUGAUCCACAGUCCUUUGAUGGAGUAUCAGAGAGGGUAAUAAUCCCGUCUUUAACGUGGACUGCCAGUGUUUCUGUGAUGCACUCUCUCAGAGUCGAGUAGUUUGGGAAUGCUGCUCUAAUGGGAGGUAAACUCCUUCUAAAGCUAAAUAUUGGCGAGAGACCGAUAGCGAACAAGUACCGUGAGGGAAAGAUGAAAAGAACUCUGAAAAGAGAGUCAAAUAGAACGUGAAAUUGCUGAAAGGGAAGCGUUUGGAGUCAGACGCGUCUUCAUGCAAUACAGCUCAGUGGCAGAGACUUUGAGACAAGUUACUUGAAGACGGGCCAGCACUCACGAAGACCAUUGAAGAAGGGGUCAUGGAAUGUAGCUCAGUGCUGAGUGAUUAUAGCCUUGAUUCAAAAGCAAUGUGUCUUUGUGAGAGAUGGACAGCACGACAACAGUUCA